GACAGAGGGUGCAAACGUUGUUCGGAAUUACUGGGCGUAAAGCGCGUGUAGGCGGCUCGGCAAGUCGGAUGUGAAAGCCCUGGGCUCAACCCAGGAAGUGCACUCGAAACUGCCAAGCUGGAGUCCCGGAGAGGAAGGCGGAAUUCUCGGUGUAGAGGUGAAAUUCGUAGAUAUCGAGAGGAACACCUGUGGCGAAGGCGGCCUUCUGGACGAUGACUGACGCUGAGGCGCGAGAGCGUGGGGAGCAAACAGG
rnacentral:rRNA from 1 species